CAGCAGUGGGGAAUAUUGCACAAUGGGCGCAAGCCUGAUGCUGCCAUGCCGCGUGUGUGAAGAAGGCCUUCGGGUUGUAAAGCACUUUCAGUUGUGAGGAAGGUGGUGUCGUUAAUAGCGGCAUCAUUUGACGUUAGCAACAGAAGAAGCACCGGCUAACUCCGUGCCAGCAGCCGCGGUAAUACGGAGGGUGCGAGCGUUAAUCGGAAUUACUGGGCGUAAAGCGCAUGCAGGUGGUUUGUUAAGUCAGAUGUGAAAGCCCGGGGCUCAACCUCGGAACUGCAUUUGAAACUGGCAGACUAGAGUACUGUAGAGGGGGUAGAAUUUCAGGUGUAGCGGUGAAAUGCGUAGAGAUCUGAAGGAAUACCGGUGGCGAAGGCGGCCCCCUGGACAGAUACUGACACUCAGAUGCGAAAGCGUGGGGAGCAAACAGGAUUAGAUACCCUGGUAG
rnacentral:rRNA from 1 species